GUUGAAUGAAGUUUUCAGAAAGAACUACAAAUCCUAUGAACCACUGCGCGGCCGCUCCAUUGCGUCAUCAGAGUGCGUGAGCGGGAGCACGAAAGUGGCAGUGAGAAACACAUCUAAACACUGAUAUCAAAUCAAACAUCACUGUUGGUGUCAGGAUGGCUUCAGAUGAUGUGGCUCGACUCGCCGACUCGCUGGCUAAAACUCAAGUCAAUGAGGGAGAACUGAGUUAUAAAGGACAGGGACUUAAACUGGACAAUGCACAGUCUGUGGAGCAGAUGGUGAAGGAGAUCGAGGAGUUUGAUGGUUUGCGUGCGCUCAGACUGGAGGGAAACACUAUCGGUGUGGAGGCGGCACAAACCAUCGCCAAAGCCCUGCAGAAUAAGAGUGACCUGCAGUGUUGUCACUGGAGUGAUAUGUUCACCGGCCGCCUGCGUGCUGAGAUUCCCCCCGCACUGGUGUCUCUGGGUGAUGCGUUAAUCACAGCUGGAGCUCGUCUGAAGAUACUGGACCUGAGUGACAACGCUUUUGGACCUGAUGGAGUGAGAGGCAUUGAGAAGCUGCUCAAGAGCGCCGCCUGCCACACGCUGCAGGAACUGCGCCUGAACAACUGUGGAAUGGGCAUCGGUGGAGGAAAGAUCCUGGCCGCGGCUCUGACGGAGUGUCAUAAGGAAUCGAGCGCGCUCAGCGCCCCCUUGCAGCUGAAGGUGUUCAUUGCAGGCAGGAACAGACUGGAGAAUGACGGUGCCACAGCGCUGGCACAAGCCUUUCAGCUGAUUGGCAGUCUGGAGGAAGUGCACAUGCCCCAGAAUGGCAUCAAUUACCCAGGAGUCUCUGCUUUAGCCACAGCGAUGCAGCACAACCCGCAGCUGCGAGUGAUCAACCUCAAUGACAACACGUUUACCAAGAGAGGAGCUGUCGCAAUGGCACAGGCACUGAAACAUCUACGCAACGUUCAGGUGAUCAACUUUGGUGAUUGUCUCGUUCGGUCAGAAGGAGCUGUUGCCAUCGCAGAUGCCCUGAGAGAAGGACUGCCGAUACUGAAGGAAUUGAAUCUGUCGUUUGGGGAGAUCACUGAAGAUGCUGCUCUGGAAGUCGCUCGAUCUGUGCACAACAAAGAUCAGUUUGAAAAACUCGACCUGAACGGUAACAGUCUGGGUGAAGAAGGUUGUGACAAUCUGAGAGAGGUCAUGGAGAGCAUGAACAUGGGCGAGAAACUGGGAUCUCUGAGUGAUGACGAGGGAGAGCCAGAGGAAGAUGAUGAAGAAGACGACGAUGAGGAGGAUGACGAUGAUGAAGAUGUGGAGGAGGAAGAAGAAGAGGAGGGAGAGGAGAGCGAAUCAAAUCAGUUUUCAACGCCGCCCUCAGCUCCUCGUCCUCCAGACGUCUCGUCUUUCCUGAGUUUUCCGUCUCCAGACAAACUGCUGCGACUUGGUGCGAAGAGAAGCUUCCUCAUCCAACAGCAGGUGGACGUGUUGGAUGUGGGUAAAACAGCAGAAGUGUUUCUGAAGAUCUCCUCUGUGUAUAAAGAGGAAGACACUGAGGUGAAAUCAGCCGUGUUGGAGAGUAUCGAUGCAGUGUUGAGUAAAGCUUUCUCCACACCAUCAUUCCAGGGUUUGAGUUUUAUUUCAUCGCUGCUGGUGAUGCUCGGAUUGUUGAAGGUAAAAACGUUUAGCGUGUUUAGACUGGUAGCUGACGUAGUUGGCAAAAAGAUGUCAUGAAAGCCACCUCAAAAACAUGAUUGGAGCACAGAGAGAAGUUAAGGAGAAGGUUGCUCCUUAAAGAAUUCAAGUAAACGCUUAUGCCAAUGUCAACUCUUAUUUGUCUUGUUAUUUUGUUUGGACUCAAGCGUGGUUAUUAAAGGGAUAAUGAACAUUCUCUCAUUCACCCAAAAAUGAACAUUCUCUCAUCAUUUACUCACCCUCAUGCCAUCCCAGAUGUGUAUGACUUUCUUUCUUCUGCAGAACACAAAUGAAGAUUUUUAGAAGAAUAUUUCAGCUCUGUAGGUCCAUACAAUGCAAGUGAAUGGUGACCAGAAAUUUGAAGCUCCAAAGAUCACAUAAAACCAGUAUAAAAGUAAUCCAUUUGUUUCCCGUGGUUUAAUCCAUGUCUUCAGAAGCGAUAUGAUAGAUCAGAUGUGAAAUAGGAGAUUUAUAGGAUAAAAAACAAGGACUUAAAUAUUGAUCUGUUUCUCACCCACACCUAUCGUAUCACUUCUGAAGACAUGGAUUUAAUCACUUGAUUACUUUUAUGCUGCCUUUAUGUGCUUUUUGGAGCUUGAUCUUCAUUUGUGUUCUGCAGAAGAAAGAAAGUCAUACACAUCUGGGAUGACAUGAGGAUGAGUAAAUGAUGAGAGAAUGUUCAUUUUUGGGUGAACUAUCCCUUUAAAUUCACAUUAGUGAGUGAAGAUAAGCUGAAGCCGGUGAAAGUCGUCCCAGGUCACCUACAGUGUCUGGAACAUGCAGUAAAACAGAGUUAUUUCCCCCGAGAAAACAUCACUGUCCUGAAUGCUUUCAUGGCCAG